GUGGGGAAUAUUGCACAAUGGGGGAAACCCUGAUGCAGCGACGCCGCGUGAGUGAAGAAGUAUUUCGGUAUGUAAAGCUCUAUCAGCAGGGAAGAGAAUGACGGUACCUGACUAAGAAGCCCCGGCUAACUACGUGCCAGCAGCCGCGGUAAUACGUAGGGGGCAAGCGUUAUCCGGAUUUACUGGGUGUAAAGGGAGCGUAGACGGCUUAGCAAGUCUGAAGUGAAAGCCCGGGGCUCAACCCCGGGACUGCUUUGGAAACUGUUAAGCUGGAGUGCUGGAGAGGUAAGCGGAAUUCCUAGUGUAGCGGUGAAAUGCGUAGAUAUUAGGAGGAACACCAGUGGCGAAGGCGGCUUACUGGACAGUAACUGACGUUGAGGCUCGAAAGCGUGGGGAGCAAACAGGAUUAGAUACCCCAGUAGUCC
rnacentral:rRNA from 1 species